rnacentral:rRNA from 1 species
UACAGAGGCCCCAAGCGUUACUGAGAAUCACUGGGUUUAAAGGGUGCGUAGGUGGCGCGUUAAGUCCGUUGUGAAAGCCCUGGGCUCAACCCAGGAACUGCUUCGGAUACUGGCGCGCUUGAGGCUAGUAGGGGUCACUGGAACCGACGGUGGAGCGGUGAAAUGACGUAGAUAUCGUCAGGAACGCCAAUGGUGAAGACAGGUGACUGGGCUAGUUCUGACACUGAGGCACGAAAGCGUGGGGAGCGAACGGGGA